GAUCACAUAUUUUCUGGCCGGUCUUUGGAAACUGAUGCCAGGCUGCCGAAAUUGUAUUAUGACAUUGUGAAGGUUGGUCUGGAGUACAGAAAGAAGGACCGCACCAUAAAUCUGGAGGAUAUUCGCUACAACCUGCAAAAUGACUUCAAGGAUUUGGUUGAGCCCCACAGGGAGCACCCCUGUGAACAUUCCAGCACAUCCAACAGUGAAUCCCAUCACAACAUUAAUAUCUGCUUUCCAUCCACCUCAGACUUCGGAGUCAAGACGCCAAAGCCACAAGGAGAGGAGGCGGUCCAAGUUGUCAGGACCUUUACUGUGUCAAGUUGUGCUGUUUCUGCACCCGUAAUCGAGGGCGCUAC